CUAAUAAUUUGAUACUUCAUAUAAAUUCGAUAAUAUGGUUCGAGAGUUUCUACCAGAUCACCGUAAAUGAUUUGACUAUGAAGACAGG
rnacentral:ncRNA from 1 species